rnacentral:lncRNA from 1 species
ACUGUACAUUGUUUUCUGGCUUUUUAUUGCCUUCUUACUACUGAGAUUGACAAAAGCAACUUCUUGCUGUAUGUGCUCCAUCUACACUGCUUUCUUCUGACCUUCAAGUGUGCCUGCUCGUUUCUGCCUUAAAAGCCCUUUACAUGCAUGAAGCGUGGCUUUAAAGUACUAUAGAAGUGUGUAAAACAAUCAGAUCACGACUGCUGACUCUAGGCUUAUGCAUGCUAGGUAAAGUGUGCGUUGAUAUGACGGCAUCAGCUCAUCGAAUUAAGGUGCGCAAAUCGUCCCAGUUUGUCCCUAACUGUCUCCGUUUAAGCACGGAAGGUCCCAAGUCCCAGGAACCCACUGAGUUUAAGUAAACUAGGACAGGUGAACGCCCCACAUUUAAUGCGUACCACUACCUUAGCAGGUGGGGCCAGUACUAGCGCAUUUUACAGAUGAGGCCUCUGAGGUUUAGAGAAGUUAAAUGCUUUACCUAAAUACCCCCACUCCCACUCCCACCCCAGGGUUCGAGAGUGAGAGCCUGGUCUUAAAGUCCUUACACAAUUGUUCUGGAAUCAGCCUCAGUACAGGUGUUUUUAAAAGGUGUUCCAGAUGUCUCCUGAAACGUGCAACCAAUUGAGGGCCAUUGCUGUCAAGUUGAAAGAACUGGGCUCAAGUCAAUCUGCCUUCAUCUGCAUCCUGGAUAAGCCUCUUAUUGACCAUGGAGCACUGGGCAAGUUGUUUAACAGGCCUGGCCUCAGUUUCCUGGUCUGUAAAGGAGGGAUCAGCAUAGCACCUACCUCACAGGGCAGUUCAGGGAAUUAAAUACUUUGACAAUUGUAAAGUCCUGAGAGGGGCGCUUGGCAAAGAAUAAGUAGUAUGUGAGAUUUGUUAUUAGCUAUUACAGGAUAAUAAUUUUCAAAAUGAAAAAAUGUAAUGUAAUAUAAAGAUUCAAAUCAUAUAGGACCUGUAUUAUUUAUUUUCAAACAAAAUGUUAUUAAAGUUUAAAAUAUUGUCACUGACUCAAACAACAUUUUCUCCCUUGGCACUUUGGACAGGAUGUUCAGACUGCCUUGAAGAAAUUGAAGUUUGCAGCUUGGGCUGCUGCUCUCAUUCAUUUUAAUACAGACACGACUAACAUCUCAUCCAAAAUGUGAAACAUAGCUUUUAAUUUAGUACCAUGGGUUCCUGCAGGACUGAGUCGACACACUGGGAAAUAUGUCAAUUAAGCUUGUUUCCCAGGAAGAAACAGGGAGGUCUUGCAAACAACCCAGGAUAGAAGGAGCCCAGGUUUUGAAGGGGGUGUUCCCUACAUGCCAGAGCUAAGCACAGGGUUGGAGGCUAGGGAAUGGAAAAGCUUCCCAAUUCAGGCAUUUCUGGAAGCAGUUGUGGCUAUUUCAGGGGGAGCUACAAACACAAGGCAAAGAGUCUUUUGAUCCCACACUUCUGUGUGAGCUUCGGAGAGACAAUCUUCCGGAUCUGGUGGUGACUUUUAAAAAAAGCGUCUCUGGAAUCCAUCCCCAGGCAGGCAGAAUUCGGUCUGAAGAUGCUCCCCAAGAGCACCUCAAAGAGCACCAGCAGGCCUUCCUCGGCAGGGACCUCCUUUAUCCAUGAGCGUUCUCUUCCCAGCCUCAUGUCCCACGGGUCCCUCCACUCUCUCCCUGAAGUCAGAUGGCGCUGGGGUUUCCCUGCGGGAACCACCCGCACAUUCGUGAGUGGAGAGAGUGCCAGCCGGGAGUCAGGCUCACUUGACUGAAGCUCCGCUUCCCUCGCUCCCCACCCACCCCUUCCGCGGCUCAGCCUGGAUCCCGCUGCUCGAUUCUCCAAGUGCCGCGUUCAUGCUGGAAGCCAGCGUUCCCCACAGUGUCUUCUGUGAAGACAAAUCCUGGGAGACGUUGGCGUUCCGGGAGAAGAAAUCGAUUCCUCAAAAAUAAGCAAAUUUUUAAUUUAAGGUGAUGUUUCAAGGAGACGUCGAUAUAUUAACGUGCUUUGCGAGUGUUUAAGAGGAAGGGGUGAAGGGCAGGGUUCUCCAAAGUUGUUGGCUACCUGGAGACCGUCUCGAGGAGUUGGACUAGAACUUGGUACUCACGAUGAUAAGCAGUGACAGGCCAGGCGCGGUGGCUCACGCCUGUAAUCCCAGCAUUUUGGGAGGCCGAGGCAGGUAGAUCACUUGAUGUCAGGAGUUGGAGACCAGCCUGGCCAACGUGGUGAAACUCUGUCUCUAUUAAAAAUACAAAAAUUAGCCGGGAGUGGUGGCGCACACCUGCAACCCCAGCUGCUCCGGAGGCUGAGGCAUGAGAGUAGUUUGAACCCGGGAGGCAGAGAUCGCAGUGAGUCCAAAUCGCGCCACUGCACUCUGGCCUGGGCGACAGUGAGACUCCAUCUCAAAUAAAUAAAUAAAUAAAAUAAGUAAAUAAAUAAAUAAAUAAAUAAACAAACAAACAAUGACAACAUUCCAUGCUCCAGGAACUGGUCUCGGUGCGGUACUGAAGAUUGAUUCAACGGUGAGAACGUCAAGCACGUACUAGUCUCCACGGGCUUACACUGUGGAGGAAAAAAUAUAAACAAACAAACAAAAAUAGCUAUAUUAUACAGCAGGAAGUGAGAAGUGACUAGAAGAAAAGUCAACCCAGAUAAGAAAAGGAAACAAUUAUAAUAGAACUUGAAUAUUUUAUAUCUUUUCUUUUUACACAUUUUGACAUUUAUUAUGAAAAUGUUGCAAGUUGAGAUAAAAUUAUAACAAAUCCCCAUAUGCUAAUUACUUUUUAAAUUAUCUUGUUUAAUCUAUAGACGCACCAUUCGUUUCCUGGUGUAUUUUAAAACAAAUUACAGACACCAUUCUAUUUUAAAUAAUAAAUGGUUUAGCAUAUAAAUCUAACAAAUAAUGACUUUUUGACACAAUUGCAGUGGAAUUAUGGCCUCUAAAACAUUAACGAUAAUUACUUAAUAGUACAGGUUGAUUCCUUGUCUGAAAUGUUCGGGAUCAGAAUUGUUUCAGAUUUCAGAUUUGUGGGGAUUUUAGAAUAUUUGCGUAUACAUAAUGAGAUAUCUUGGGGGCGAGACCUAAGUCUAAACACGAAAUUUAUUUGUCCUUCAUAUGCACCUUAUAUGCAUAGCCUGAAGAUAAUUAUGUAUUUUCACUAAUUUUGUGCAUGAAACAAAGGUUGUGGACACGAGGUCGCGUAUGAAUUUCUUUACUUGUGGUAUCAUGUAGGUACUCAAAAUUUUACAAAUUUGGAGCAUUUUGGACUUGAUUUUUGGAUUAGGGAUGCUCAACUUGCAUCUAAUACUCGGCUAGUAUUAUUUUAAUAAUUUGCUAAUCACCUCAAAAUGUCUUUUAUUAUAGCCAGUGUGUUAGAGUGCAAAAAAAUAAGUAUUCACAUUGCAUUUAGUUGAUAAAUCUCUUACGUCUUACUUGGAAGGCAUUUCCCUCCCCGCUGCCACCGAACCAUCGUUUCUUCAAUGAAAAGGCAGAUUUGUUUUUCCUGUGUUUUUUUCUCCCAUUGUGAUUGGCUGCCUGCAUGCUAGAACUUUUAUGUAACAUGUUCAUCUCUGUACCAUAUAUCUUCUGUCAAUUGGUAGAUAGACCUACAGCCUUCAUUAAAUUUGGCUUCAUUCUUUAGGCAAAAUUAAUUCAUUGACUGUGUUUGAACUUCUUGUUGCACUGUAUCUGGAGGCAGGUAUUAUGGUUGGCCAGCACGGUCCCAUGGUGCCAAUCUCAAUCCUCUUUCAAAAAAUUGCCUCAGCAUACUUUGCUGCUCCUGAUCUAGGAGCUACUGGUCUAGGAGCAAUUUUAUUCAGGCUUUCGGAGUUAUGAUUUUCAAUUUCUACUAUUUCUUCUGCAUAAUUAGCCAGAAUCUUUCUAUGCAGAAGAAACCCUUCUAAAGAUUACAGCACUUUGGGAGGCCGAGACGGGCAGAUCACGAGGUCAGGAUAUCGAGACCAUCCUGGCUAACACAGUGAAACCCUGUCUCUACUAAAAAAAAAAAAAAAAAAAAAAAAUUAGCUGGGCAUGGUGGCAGGUGCCUGUAGUCCCACCUACUUGGGAGGCUGAGGCAGGAAAAUGGCGUGAACCCGGGAGGCAGAGCUUGCAGUGAGCCAGGAUCGCACCACUGCACUCCAGCCUGGGCAACAGAGCAAGACUCAGUCUCAAAAUAAAUAAAUAAAUAAAUAAAUAAAUAAAUAAAUAAAUAAAGAUGGUUUUUGUUUGUUUUUUAAAGAUCAAGUGUGUAAACAUAAAGAGGCUGUGAAUGGUUAGGAACACAGGCUUUGUGGCCAGACAUACCUGGGAUUGAAUAUUGGCUCUAUCAGUUUUCUUCCCCAGUCCAGGCAAUUCUCAACUGUGUCCAAGGAAAAACUCACAUACCUUCUGGAAACUGUUAGUCUUCUAUAAGAUCGAACUUAGAUGUCUCGUGUCUUUUACCUAAUGGUUUAUGUGUACAUCUUUCCAUAACCAACACACAGAGAUUGACCUUGAUUUUUUUUUUUUUUUUUUAAUUUUACUUUAAGCUCUGGGAUACAUGUGCAGAACGUGCAGGUUUGUUAUAUAGGUAAACAUAUGCCAUGGUGGUCUGCUGCACCUAUGAACCUGUCAUGCAGGUUUUAAGCCCUGCAUGCAUUAGGUAUUUGUCCUAAUGCUCUCCCUCCCCUUACCCCCCAACCCCCAGAGAGGCCCCAUUGUGUGAUGUUCCCCUCUCUGUGUCCAUGUGCUCUCAUUGUUCAACCCCACUUAUGAGUGAGAACAUGCAGUGUUUGGUUUUCUGUUUCUGUGUUGGUUUGCUGAGAAUGAUGGCUUCCAGUUUCAUCCAUGUCCCUGCAAAGGACAUGCACUCAUUCUUUUUUAUGGCUGCAUAGUGUUCCAUGAUGUAUAUGUGCCAUAUUUUCUUUAUCCAGUCUAUCAUUGAUGAGCAUUUGGGUUGGUUCCAAGUCUUUGCUAUUGUAAAUAGUGCUGCUAUAAACAUAUGUGUGCAUGUGUCUUUAUAGUGGAAUGAUUUAUAAUCCUUUGGGUGUAUAGCCAGUAAUGGGAUUGCUGGGUCAAAUGGUAUUUCUGGUUCUAGAUCCUUGAGGAAUCACCGCACUGUCUUCCACAAUGAUUGAACUAACUUAUACUCCCACCAACAGUGUAAAAGCAUUUAUAUUUCUCCACAGUCUUGCCAGCAUCUGUUGUUUCCUGACUUUUUAAUAAUUGCCAUUCUCACUGGUAUGAGAUGUUAUCUCAUUAUGGUUUUGAUUUGCAUUUCUCUAAUGACCAGUAAUGAUGAGCUUUUUUCCAUGUGUUUGUUGGCCACAUAAAUGUCUUCUUUUGAGAAAUGUCUGUUCAUAUCCAUUGCCCACUUUUUGAUGGGGUUGUUUGUUUUUUUCUUGUAAAUUUGUUUAAGUUCCUUGUAGAUUCUGGAUAUUAGACCUUUAUCAAUGGGUGGAUUGCAAAAAUUUAUAAAAGGAUUACAAAAAAAUCACACACGUAGCAACAUUUAAGAAAUGAGCUGUUAUCACUGUUUGAUUCCCCGGUUCUCUGCUCUGCCCCAGAUGCCCUCAGCGUAUUUUUAGGCGAGUUUUCUCCUCCUCCACCCUGACAUAGGCUUAUCUCUCUUAAGUCUUUGUAUCUCUGUUCUUCCUUCCAUCUUCCUUCUGACCCAGCCUCAGUCUCAAGGAUCAGUGGAGCAUCUCCCUAGAAAGGCACCUCUUCCUUACCUCAUUCAUCUCCCCAGUGCUACUAACUCCUCACAGCAUGGUGCCUCUAGGUCCUAUCUCCUCAACUGGAAUACAGGCUGUGACUCCUUUAUUUUAGCAUCCUCCAAGGGCAUCUAACAUAGGUUAGGGUACAAAGUAAGGCUUAAAAAUUCUGGCUAAUCAUAUAACUGAUUGAUUAUCCACUUGACAAAUUUACUUUAAUUGAUUUCCUUCCUGAGAAUGUUGCAGAUAUUGGAAAAUCCACCUAUUUUACUUUGUAGGCCAUAAGUUGAAAAUUACAGGGAUAAACAAGUCAUUCAGGAGUAUGUGAACCCUGAAAGUUUGAGACAGGUCUCAGUUAAUUUAGAAAGUUUAUUUUGCCAAGUUUGAGGACAUACACCCAUGACACAGUCUCAGGAGGUCCUGGCAACAUGUCACCAAGGUGGUCAGAGCACAGUUUGGCUUUAUACAUUUUAGGGAGACAUGAGACAUCAAUUAACAUGUGUAAGAUGAAUAUUGGUUUGGUAUGGAAAGGCAGGAGAACUGAAAGUGGGGAAGGGGCUUCCAGGUCAUAGGUAGAUAAGGGACAAAUUGUUACAUUCUUUUGAGUUUCUGAUGAGCCUCUCCAAAGGAGGCAAUCAGACAUGCAUUUAUCUCAGUGAGCAGAUGGGUGACUUUGAAUUGAAUGGGAGGCAGGUUUGCCCUAAGCAGUUCCCAGCUUGACUUCCAUUAGCUUAGUGAUUUUGGGGACACAAAAUAUUUUCCUUUCAUAAGUAGUUGUUAUUGUUGCUGCUACUGCUA